GGGCGAUUGACGCUGAGGCACGAAAGCGUGGGGAUCGAACAGGAUUAGAUACCCUGGUAGUCCACGCAGUAAACGAUGAUGACUAACCGCCGGCGAUACAGUGAUCGGUGGCCAAGCGAAAGCGAUAAGUCAUCCACCUGGGGAGUACGACCGCAAGGUUGAAACUCAAAGGAAUUGACGGGGGCCCGCACAAGCGGAGGAACAUGUGGUUUAAUUCGAUGAUACGCGAGGAACCUUACCCGGGCUCGAACGGCAAGUGAAGAGAACAGGAGACUGUGACGUCCUUCGGGACACUUGUCGAGGUGCUGCAUGGUUGUCGUCAGCUCGUGCCGUGAGGUGUCGGCUCAAGUGCCAUAACGAGCGCAACCCUUGCCGUCAGUUACCAGCGCGCAAAGGCGGGGACUCUGGCGGGACUGCCACCGCAAGGUGAGAGGAAGGGGGGGAGGACGUCAAAUCAGCACGGCCCUUACGUCCGGGGCGACACACGUGUUACAAUGGCGGCCACAGAGGGGACCGACCUGGUGACAGGGAGGUAAUCCGAAAAAAGCCGCCUCAGUUCGGAUCGGAGUCUGCAACCCGACUCCGUGAAGCUGGAUUCGC
rnacentral:rRNA from 1 species